rnacentral:rRNA from 1 species
GAUCAUGGCUCAGGAUGAACGCUAGCUACAGGCUUAACACAUGCAAGUCGAGGGGCAGCAUCAUCAAAGCUUGUUUUGAUGGAUGGCGACCGGCGCACGGGUGAGUAACACGUAUCCAACCUGCCGACAACACUGGGAUAGCCUUUCGAAAGAAAGAUUAAUACCGGAUGGCAUAAUUUUCCCGCAUGGGAUAAUUAUUAAAGAAUUUCGGUUGUCGAUGGGGAUGCGUUCCAUUAGG